UCUGCCUUGGAGUGGGGAAUAACGGCUGGAAACAGCCGCUAAUACCGCAUGAUACAGCUGGGAGGCAUCUCCCUGGCUGUCAAAGAUUUAUCGCUCUGAGAUGAGCUCGCGUCUGAUUAGCUAGUUGGCGGGGUAACGGCCCACCAAGGCGACGAUCAGUAGCCGGACUGAGAGGUUGGCCGGCCACAUUGGGACUGAGACACGGCCCAGACUCUUACGGAAGGCAGCAG
rnacentral:rRNA from 1 species